GAUAACCUGGCGGCGUGCCUAAUAAUGCAAGUCGAGCGAACAGAUGAGAAGCUUGCUUCUCUGAUGUUAGCGGCGGACGGGUGAGUAACACGUGGGUAACCUACCUAUAAGACUGGGAUAACUCCGGGAAACCGGGGCUAAUACCUGAUAAUAUUUUGAACCGCAUGGUUCAAUAGUGAAGGACGGCUUCGGCUGUCACUUAUAGAUGGACCCGCGCCGUAUUAGCUAGUUGGUAAGGUAAUGGCUUACCAAGGCAACGAUACGUAGCCGACCUGAGAGGGUGAUCGGCCACACUGGAACUGAGACACGGUCCAGACUCCUACGGGAGGCAGCAGUAGGGAAUCUUCCGCAAUGGGCGAAAGCCUGACGGAGCAACGCCGCGUGAGUGAUGAAGGUCUUAGGAUCGUAAAACUCUGUUGUUAGGGAAGAACAAAUUUGUUAGUAACUGAACAAGUCUUGACGGUACCUAACCAGAAAGCCACGGCUAACUACGUGCCAGCAGCCGCGGUAAU
rnacentral:rRNA from 1 species